GUCGCCGUUGAGCACGGACUGGGCGUCCGAGACGGACGUGUCCGUGCGGUGAUCAGUCACCAUCGUGUAUGGGUGAAGCACGUAGGAUCGAAUCCGAUAGCCGAAGCCGGCGUUCGUGUGCUCGCCCUUGAGCCUCGACCGCUCGUCCGCCUCAGCAUUCAUUUUCCGCUCGAGCAAGCGUGCGCGCAGGAUCUUGAACGCCGAUUCCCGAUUCUGCAGCUGACUUCGCUCGUUCUGGCAGGUGACGACGAUCCCGGUCGGAAGGUGAGU
rnacentral:misc_RNA from 1 species